UCUUUCAGUGACAGUGAGUGGAGAAUUUAUUUUUCAGAAGUUGUGCAAUCAAAUUAAAAAGAUAAAAUAAUAAAUGAAACAACAUGAGUGCUGAAAAGCAAACCGUAGCUAAGGUGCCCAAGGAUUGCCUGGGGUGCCGAAUAGUCGGCGCUGUCGGCCUCAUCGGAAUUGGAGGCUACUUGGCGAACAUUGCAUGGAAAAAUAAAACUUUGCCUGGAAGAGUAGCAAUUUCAACAAUAUCCCUAACGUUUGUCAGUCUCGGGGUGGCCAGAUACAAACAAACAUUCCCAUUUGAAAAACGAGAAAUGGAGACAUAAACUUAUUUAAUGUUAAUUUUAUAUGUAUAAAGUAUCUUGUAUGAUAUAGUGUAAAUAUAAAUUGUAAUAUAAUAUA